rnacentral:lncRNA from 1 species
CAAAGACGCAGAGGACACCGGACCACCAGACCACGGUACUGAGUUCCGCUGCUCCCGGCCCAGAGGUCAAAACUUGGCCUUCCUGUGACUGUGCUCAAAGACUUCAGAAGACCCAGGGCCACAGAGAUGAAGAAAUGAUGGAAAUUCAUUUGUGAAGUCAAAUGGGAGAAAACAAAGACCUGCCUUUGAUGCAGGUUGCUGUUAUAAAUAUGGGAAAAGGAUAUUGUUCUCCCUAGAUGCCACAUAAUGACAACAGCAGCAUGGUAACUACCAGAGAUUGGGAGUUUGCUAUUGACCAGAAGACUUUGAAGCUUCAUAAUUGCCCACAUGGCCCAAAACUUCACAGGAAUCACUGGAAGGUCAGCAGAAGAGGAGAACAGACCUUGAGCUGUGACCAAGUGCACUGUUACCAAUUUCCUGCCAUGACAUUGCACAAUGGAGUUUUAUUAUGUACAGUCUUCAAUUGUAUCAUCUUGGAGUUUUAAAUGUUUUAGAAUUUUCAAUCUAGUCAAGAU